GACCGCGUAGCUCAGUUGGCAGAGCAUUGGGCUAGUAUUCCAAAGGUCGUAGGUUCGAUUCCAGCCGUGGCCA
rnacentral:tRNA from 1 species